GGCCUAAUGGCCCAAUGGCAAGGCGCUUGACUACGAUUUCACAUCUGUUAUCAAGAGAUUCCAGGUUCGACCCCUGGUUAGGUCA